UCCGUAGGUGAACCUGCGGAAGGAUCAUUAAAAAAUAUCGCUCGAUUGAGAGUGAUUUAAUAAUCAUCCUACCUUUGUGAAUUUGUUGUUUGUAAUAAUUUUUUUGAUUUUAAAAAAAAAUUAUUUAUGGUUUUGUCUAUCCUGAAAUUGGUUUGUUGUGAAUGAAUCAAAUUUAGGAAUAGGCUUUCAUAAAUAAGUUUUUUUUAAAGUCUUAAAGACCUUUUUUAAAAUUAAACUUUUGUAUUCAUUUGUCUAAAUUUUUUUUUAAAUAAUUUAAAAACAACUUUUGACAAUGGAUCUCUUGGUUCUCGCAACGAUGAAGAACGCAGCAAAAUGCGAUAAGUAAUGUGAAUUGCAGAAUACGUGAAUCAUCAAAUCUUCGAACGCAUAUUGCACUUUUUUAGUUUACUAAAAAGUAUGUCUGUUUGAGUAUCAGUAAAAUAUUCUCAUAAAAACAUUUUUGUUUUUAUGGUUAUGAGUGUUUUACAACGAUAAACAAGUUGUUUCACUUUAAAUUCAUUUUAAUUUAAGACAUUUAUGGUUUUAAUAUAAAAUUGGAUAAAAUUUUCCCGUAAAAAGGAAUAAACUUUUCAGUUUUUAGUUAUACAACAACGGUCCGAUUUAAAAGGAAUUUAUAUUUAAAUAACUUGAUCUCAAAUCAGAUAAGAGUACCGCUGAACUUAAGCAUAUCAAUAAGCGGAGGAAAAGAAACUAACAAGGAUUCCCUUAGUAACGGCGAGUGAAGCGGAAGAGCUCAAAUUUGAAAUCUUCAAGUUCUACCUUGACGUAUUGUAGUUUAAAGAAGUGUUUUCUGUUAGAUGAGUAGCAAAAGUUCCUUGGAAUGGACAUCAUAGAGGGUGAGAAUCCCGUAUUUGGUUAUCAUUCUAGCUUUGUGAUACACUUUCAAAGAGUCGGAUUGUUUGGGAAUGCAGUCCAAAAUGGGUGGUAAAUUUCAUCUAAAGCUAAAUAUUGGCGAGAGACCGAUAGCGAGCAAGUACCGUGAGGAAAGAUGAAAAGAACUUUGAAAAGAGAGUUAAACAGUACGUGAAAUUGUCAAAAGGGAAGCGUUUGACACCAGUGUUGUUUUUCCGAAAAUCAAUUACGAAUGGCUUGAUUUUGUGUUGUAUUGACCUUAUCAGCUUUCUUCACUUUUUUCGAGUCUUUCUUAAUGCACUUAUCGUUAACAAGUCAACAUCAAUUUCUUUUGUUGUAAAAGAGUAUUCGGAAGGUGGCUUUCUUUUCGGAGAAAGUGUUUAUAGCCCUAUACUUCUACAAUCGGAGAGAUUGAGGUCUGCAGCGUAGAUCCUUCGGGUUAGAUGCAUUUGUGCUAAGUUGUAGCUUUUCAUAGACAACUUGUUGACUAUGUUUAGUCAUGCGGCUUACUCGCUUAUGCUAUUU
rnacentral:misc_RNA from 1 species